UCAGGACGAACGCUGGCGGCGUGCUUAACACAUGCAAGUCGAGCGAUGAAGCUCCUUCGGGAGUGGAUUAGCGGCGGACGGGUGAGUAACACGUGGGUAACCUGCCUCAUAGAGGGGAAUAGCCUUUCGAAAGGAAGAUUAAUACCGCAUAUGGUAGCUUUAUCGCAUGGUAAUGCUAUUAAAGGAGUAAUCCGCUAUGAGAUGGACCCGCGUCGCAUUAGCUAGUUGGUGAGGUAACGGCUCACCAAGGCGACGAUGCGUAGCCGACCUGAGAGGGUGAUCGGCCACAUUGGGACUGAGACACGGCCCAGACUCCUACGGGAGGCAGCAGUGGGGAAUAUUGCACAAUGGGGGAAACCCUGAUGCAGCAACGCCGCGUGAGUGAUGACGGCCUUCGGGUUGUAAAACUCUGUCUUUGGGGACGAUAAUGACGGUACCCAAGGAGGAAGCCACGGCUAACUACGUGCCAGCAGCCGCGGUAAUACGUAGGUGGCAAGCGUUGUCCGGAUUUACU
rnacentral:rRNA from 1 species